GGCGGCGUAGCUCAGCUGGUUAGAGCACACGGCUCAUAAUCGUGGGGUCGUCGGUUCGAGUCCGACCGCCGCUACCA
rnacentral:tRNA from 1 species